CGACAUUUUAGAAAGCUUUUAGAUUUGAUACAAAAAAAAAAUAUACUGAAUUUCAAAGAUUCGUAGUUUCAAUAGAAAAUCACAUUUUGCAUCUCAUAACCAUAAAUGAAACGAAAUGCAAACAAAAGCAUACCCACACAUAAGCAUAGCCAACCCACCUGCCGAGCCGCCACUGAUGAAUGCAAAAAACAAAGAUGGUUCCGAUCCUUCCAAAAAGCCACAAAAUUCAUACAAAUAAAAUCAUCAUGUUUGCUAAAGUAAAAGCCAGUCAGUAUAUCCAACAUUCAACACGCAGUUAAAGUGGGCCCCCUUCCCGUAAGAAUCUGUGUGUGUGUGUGUGGGCAAAAGCGCUCUGUUUAUUGCCUUGCCAGAAAUAUACUUCCAUUGAAGAUUGAAGUCGAAAUAUAAAAAUAUCGCACAUUGAUUUAUUCAAAAAUGCGAUUUGUGUGAAAGCUGAA